CUCCACCACCACCAUCACCACCACCAACACCAGCAUCACCACCACCACCACCUCCACCACCACCACCACCACCACCACCACCACCACCACCACCACCACCGCCCACUCCUUGCCCCACCCUCAAUGCCAGAUGAGAGCGGGUCAUAUUAAGCAGUUCCUCCUGGCUGACGGAGGUUAUUAGAUCUGCGUUGUGCGGGGGCAGUGAGCGGCGGCGUCCUCCACUCCAGGCAGCGUCUAAACGGCUAAACCCAUUAGCCUCCCAACGACUGCACGCACAUCAGGGUGAAAAACAAAGAUGCAAUUAUUCUGACUUAUUAUGCGAUUCCGCCUCGGCCUCGACAAUAACUGUACUUUGCCAAGCAGGACAUGACCGGUUCCAAGAUUGAGGACCGUUUAAGGCCCUAAUGCAGUGAUCCUGUCGACUGGAAUAAAACGUCUGUUUAAAGGGCGGCCCACCGUACGGCCUCGGACCACAGCAACAGCGCCAUCUGUGGGCUAGUGUGGGAAUUACAGUUUGGAUUAAUGCUGUUCAUCUCGGAGCGGUCUCACUCGUACUAUAGACUCAUACUACGCAACACCUACACCGUGGAGCCCUCGUACCAUGGUAGUACUAGUGCUCUGUGCUAGUCCAUGAUCCUGGACUAGCACGAGGCUGCUGGCCAGAGGAGGCGGGGCCUGGUGUCCUGAUUGAUAUGUUGUUGAACCAAUAGGUGUUGGCCGUGGUUUGGCUGGUUGGUUAAAUGUUGUUCCUCCCUCAGGACAGUGACCUGGAGGCCAUGAUGAGGCAGAUGGAGAGGCUUCUGGACGGAGAGGCUGGAGUGAGACCUGGGCGGGGCUGUUCCAGAACCAUCUAGAUUCCAGCUGUGAGGCUGUUUCUCCUCCUACUCUUAUUUACAUGAAGGGGAUUAGUCUGCCGUCACAGGAUUGCAUCGCUGCAAACUUAUGUGGAUCAGAGUCUGAGUUGGGGGCUCCAUCCUUCUCCCCAGGGCCCCCAGAGCCCCCAGACCCCCCAGAACCCCGGGGCCCGGCCAGGGUCCACAACAGCUUGGUGGAGAACAACAUCCAGCGCAUGAGAGAGUGGGUCCACACACACACACACACAGCCAUACACACAGACACACACUCAUGCACACACACAGCCAUACACACUAACACACAGCCACAUGUAAACAGACACACACAGCCAUACACACACAAACACUCAUGCAUACACACACACAUGUGGACGAGUGAUGAGGAAGAGGAAGAGUGAUGAGGAAGAAAAAUAGUGAUGAAGAAGAGGACGAGGGAUGAGGAAGAAGAAUGGAAAUGACGAAGAGUGAUGAGGAAGAGGGAUCAAGAAGAGGACGAGGGAUGAGGAAGAGUAAUGACGAAGAGGAAGAGUGACGAGGAAGAGGGAUGAGGAAGAGGAAGAGUAAUGACGAAGUGAUGAGGAAGAGAAAUGGUGAUGAGGAAGGGUAAUGAGGAAGAGACUUCAGCUCGUUGUAGAGUCCACCCAGCCAACAGGUUAAGAGGCUGAACACAACGUUUAUAAACCAAGAUUCAAUGAUCACAGUCCACGCUGGUAUAAAUACU
ensembl:lncRNA